CUAAUUUGUUGUACAGAAUUAGGGCUAGGGUUUCAAAUACCCUCUCAUCCGGCACUCCCCAUCUAUAAAGUUCCCCGUUAGGGGAGUCGUCUUCCCGCAGAUCCUCCAGCCCAAGAAAUGUGCAAAUCCAUCAGCAUAAAUUUGAAGUCAUGGUAAAGUCUUUCAUAAAUCACGUAAUAUUUAGAAGGCUUCGCACGAGAUGAGCUCAAAGUAUAAAGCUGUGUAGUCUGUUAUGUAUACAACUGUUUCUACUGUCAAACAGGCUUAAUUAGCUAUAUUUAUUUGUAUAUUCUUACUAAGUUAGAGCUAGAAUGUGCUUUGUUUCAUAACGCCCUAAAGUAUAAAGCUGUGUAGCUCUGCGUCUGCGGUUUCAAAGCAUUCCUGUUGCAUAAUUAGCAUUCAACGUAAUGCCUAUAAACCUGUAUUCGUCCUUUUGAAUUUUAGUGCCAGUUUACGUAGUACUGUCAGGGGUUAAAUAUCAAUUGCAUUGCAAUUCCACCACAAUUCUUUGUCCAGUCUAAUUACAAUGUUUGGUUGGAUUGAA